UGGGGAAUAUUGGACAAUGGGCGCAAGCCUGCUCCAGCCAUGCCGCGUGAGUGAUGAAGGCCCUAGGGUUGUAAAGCUCUUUCACCGGUGAAGAUAAUGACGGUAACCGGAGAAGAAGCCCCGGCUAACUUCGUGCCAGCAGCCGCGGUAAUACGAAGGGGGCUAGCGUUGUUCGGAUUUACUGGGCGUAAAGCGCACGUAGGCGGACUUUUAAGUCAGGGGUGAAAUCCCGGGGCUCAACCCCGGAACUGCCUUUGAUACUGGAAGUCUUGAGUAUGGUAGAGGAGAGUGGAAUUCCGAGUGUAGAGGUGAAAUUCGUAGAUAUUCGGAGGAACACCAGUGGCGAAGGCGGCUCACUGGACCAUUACUGACGCUGAGGUGCGAAAGCGGGGGGAGCAAACAGG
rnacentral:rRNA from 1 species